CACCUAUUGAUAGGCAUUGAUAGCUGCCGAUCGAGAGGCAUGCAGAGCUUUUGGUCUGGGCACCAUGUUGCUCUUGGUAGGCACUGAGGCCUGUCGACAUUGGCCGUUGUCAGGGUCAAGGGCCCUUCCUGAGGAUGGAUUUCCAUAUGUGUUGCUCGGGAACAACAUGCAUAGAUAUCGAGCCCUCUCGGUCUGCAUUGAUAGCUCUGCAUCCUGAUGGGUGUCGAUCAGGUUCACUCUCCCUAGGGAUCGAGUGUUAUUGAUAACCACCGCUGGGCAUCCCUGCCCAUAGCCAGUGAUAGUUCUCAAUGUCCACUGGCCUCUCGAGCGAUACGACUAUCGCUGUCAAGGGCACCAUCUCUCAGGAGGCUUCGAUGCCUUUUGAUUUGCACAGCCUUGGGUAGGGAUUGAUGGGCAUGGGUAACUGUCGAUGCCUCAUGAUAUUGAUGCCUAUUGAUCCCUUUUGAUAGCUGUCAAUCUCGUCAGACAUGUUUAGCUUUUGAGCUGGGGCCAAUUUGCUUCUUGUUGAGCAUUGAAUGAGUCUUGACAUUGAUACCUCUCUAUAGCGAGGGCCAUCGAUGCCUGUUGAAUUCCAUACCUAUCGAUAGGCGUCGAUAUCAUUCAGCAUCAAUAAAUAUCAAUGCCGAUCGAUAUCGACACCUAUCGAUAGGUAUCUUAACAUCUGCUCUUAAAUAGAUUUAGUCAGGUUAAUACUUCCUCACUGCCCUUCACUCAGACAUUUUAACCUGCCUUUAAAAGGACAUCCAUUUGAAAUGCACUGUUUAAAAAAUAGUAUUUACAGUCAUUUCAAAUACAAUAUUCCAGCAGUUUUUCUCUCCAUGCUGUCAUGAUUUCUUGUUAUUACUGACAGUCCUUUCUCCUGGUAUCUAUCUGUCUCUGAUAAAAGUCACUCUUCAAGAAAGGGCUCAGGAUCAAACUGAUAUCUCUCCAUCAUUCUAUCGAUUAAGUUUAUGCUCUAGCAAACAUGAAGGAUUACGUUGCAGUGGCUGGUGUGAUAAGAUAUAAGUGCAAGGUGGAGGAAGCUUGCCACAUAAACUGGUGCAGUCUUCCCUCUACUUCAAAUAGAAGCAGACAAGGAGAACAUGUUCUCAGUGUCUUACAAUCUGCAAUGAGUCAGGAUCCUGCAAAGUAAUAUGCAGAUAUUAAUGCUUCAGAAAUGAAACAUGUAGCUUUAGUACAAAGCACUUUCAAAACACAACAUAAACUAAUGCAAGGCCUUGGUUUUGACCAGUCAGAGGGGGUUCAUUGGUUUAAUACUGCAGCAGCUAAUGCAAAGUUACAACCAAGGAAGCUUUAGCAAACAGUCUUUUACUGUGUUGUCCUCAUGUAAGUUAUGAUAUAUUCUCACACAGGUAUAGUGUAUCUCACAUAUCAUGAAGUUAUCUGGACAGCUGCAUUACUGGUGUAGAUGACAUGGCUAUUGAAGAAAGAGGUGUCCUGCACCAGAGUUAGAGCAGCACUGUGCUCUCAAGGAUCUCAGCACUGUUGGGUCACUGGCCAGGAAAUUCCAGUACUGAUCUUACUUCAGCAGGAACAACUGGAGGUUUGUUAUACUGGCAAACACUUGGCCAGCUUCAAGACACUAACACAUCUGUCUCAACAAGAUAUUAAUGCUUUAUACCUCUGGCAAGAACAACACAAACUAUGUGGCCAUGACCAACACAAGCUAAGUGUUUUGUUUGCUCUUCUUUUAUACAUUGAUCAAAUGUUUAUUAUUUUCUACCCAAUUUUGAAGAGUCUGGUAACUUGUACCAGAAAUUUAUACUGAUCUGUAUUUUGACAUUGCACCCUUAUCAUCCAGGCAAAGAGCGAUCCUUCUGCCUAAUAUGCCGGCCUCCCGUCUCACUUCAUGACAGGACCAUGUGUGGUAUAAGCUGUACCUGCACAGCUCCUGUGGGGUCUGAGACACACUGGCCUGUGUCCCAGCAGUGCCUUUCUGCAUGCAGUAGAUGUGCUGAACAAUGCUCUUACAAGCUGAUACUGUUCACAGAAGAUUUCGUUCAAAAACAUGAAUUAAAAAUUUUUCAGCUAUGAAGAAGGUCACAUGAACUGACAAUCUUGCCUGACUUUAAAGUCUUUGAGUGACCACUAAUAGAUCUCUAAGACCUCUCCUCAAAUGGGACCAAAAACGCUUCUGUUUGCUUUUGGAAAGCUUUAAAAGCAGGCUGAAACCAGUAGGCUAAACCAGAUUAAGUGGUGGUGACUCGCAUUCUGUCUACAUUAGCAGAUAAGUCAAUGCAAUAGAAACAAACAAUAAGGUAGCCUUGAGGCUCUUCACGUCCUCAUUCUCUUUGGUUCAGGAGGUUUGCUUCAAAUAGAUCUAAUUUGCCACUAGAUAGGGUUCAAAACUUUUGAAAAGGAAACCUGAAAACAAUCAAAUAUAAAUAUAUAUAAAUAACAUUGCUGCAAAUAGAUGUUAAUAACAACUAGAUUAAGAUUAAUUUUAAAACAUAUAUAUAUAUAUAUAUUGUUUUUACCACUGUUGUGUGUGUUUUACCAUGUGUUGUGUUUUAUCGUAUUGUUGUGUAAUAUGAAUAUCCAGGAACCCUGUGAAAUCUGGGAACUCUAAACUAGGAAUGUAUACAAGACAAAGAAUGUGGUAGGGUUAUCUUGAACCACACCUGGAAAAACAUCACAUCCUGAAAGAAUCUUAGUCUGCAUCUGAAGUAAAUAAACCAUGUUAUCUUGAUUAGCAAAUAUGCAUGAAGACUAUUAACUACCUUGAUGGGUGGUCUACAAAUAAACAGGAUACAAGUUAAAGAGAAAAGCAGCCACUGUGAGAAAAUCAGCCUUUCUCAGAGCAGAGAUGGAAUCACUCCUAGACUGCCUCUAUGAAACUGCAAGAAACACCGCUUGGCUUCCUGUCUUCCUCAGAACUGAUCCCUCUGGUAUCCUGAUCGGUACAGCUAUGCAUGCCUUCAGGCAAGAGUGGACUUCUUGGGUAGCACAGCCCUUUCUACAGCAGGAUGCAAUGGUGUGUCCCACCAGUCAACAGUCACCUGGGGUGUCUGGCACCUGAGGCACCACACUGCAGCACUGUGUGAAAAUACAGUGAUAAGAAAUGAGAUGACACCACAGAAACCCUCAACUCUGGUAGCACUACAUGGGAAUAUAGUGAUAAGAAGUAAAAACAAAAUAAUUAUAAAGGAACAUCAGAGCCUCGUUGGAUAAAGAGACAAUCAGGCUUGUGCUUGGUUUAAACUGCUGCUUUUGUGGGGAACUAUAAAAAGAUUAGCACCAUCCUACACACUGUGGUGGUCCCUGCUCCAGAGAGCUGGAUGGAGCUCAGGACCUCCCACCCAGUGAGGAGGGGAUGCCUGCACCCUGAUUUCUGUGACAGAUGGGGCAUCAAGGUGUCCAAAUUUCGUAAGACAGCAACUUAACUGUGAACCUAAAGCAUGUGCAGAAUAAUAUUUAGUGCCCGGCUAUAGCAAAUUAGGCUGAGAGAUUAAUCUAAGAUUGAGUAAUAAAUGCUUAUUUGUUUGGGGCUGUGCCACACCUAGCGUCCUUGCUCUUUUAUGGUCCUGCUUAAGUUGUCAACAUUCAAAAGAAGCCUUGGAGCAUCACCACCUUGGUGCAACACCACAGACAGGAUGGAAACACUACUCACUGUUGGCUCCAAAAGGUAGCAAAAAGGCAUAUCCAAACCCUGCCCACAGUCACCAGCCUAAGAAAAAACAUGGAGAAAUGAGGACGAUUUGAUAGCUGGCAUUGCUUGUCCUCCCUGUCGUCACAAGAGAUCUUGGAGCCAACAUCUGGAUACAUGCAUUGGGGUACCUGGCUACUGGUUGGACAGCUCAGGCGCCCCUGCCCUGGGGCAUGACCACUGGGCAGACUCCUUGGCCACCACUCAUUCUGGUGCUUGUGACAGAAAGCAUGAGAGUGAAACCUGUUUUAUUUCAGUUUUUAUUUUAAAUAAAAUUACCUUCCCCUCCUAUAAGGUCUUGCAAGGAUAUUUGCUACCUUGUUCAUAGGUUUUGCACAAGUAUUUCCUGCAUAAUAAAGCCUCUUGAAGUCAACCCAAUCUUUUUACUGUCUUCAACUUAAUUGGCUUUGGAGAAGCCCUUUCCCAUCCUGAUGACACUACCAUUAUUCCUAAAAAUGUUAGUUUUAGCAUAUUUCUUGUGUCAUCAUUGCACUUUCUCCAUCAUUAUCUUAGUAGCAUUCCAGCCUAAAUGGAACUUUCAUGUCUAAUAUUCAGGUGAAAAACUAAAAUUAGGGAAGGAAACAACAUCCUUUAUACCAGGCAGAGGGAAAAAAAAACCCAAAACAGAAACAAAACAAACCACAAGAGCACACAUCCUCUUUUCAUUUCCUUGUUUUGGAAUGCACAUCACCUUUAACAUAUUAUACAAAACACACAUGGAUAUUAGAGCAGCCAUACCAUUUUGCUGACUUACCAUGCUUCUCAAGUAUUUGUUAUGAUUUAAUCUCCAACAAUGCUGAUUAACAGUCAUCGAAUAGCUGCUCUGACCUUCUCCUCCGAAAUCCCAUUGGGAGAUGAUCCCUUAUCAGGGACUCUAUUAGUUUCCUUGGUAUUCAAGAUAUCAAUUAAAUUGAUUUAAGCUUUUUUAGCCUUUUGUUAGGAGUUUGAAAUGGGUGAGGAAAAAAUACUACUCUGCUGCACCAUAUCAGUGUGCCACAGCAACAUCUCAAAGGUAUCUCUGUUGAUUUCUCUUGAGGAUCGAGAAGGAAUAGAGGUAUAGUUAUCUACAAAAUGUCCACAACAGUUCUACCUUCACAUAUCAGUAUUUCUGAUAUGCUCUUUUGACCACUCUAUGCUAGCCCAGUGUUAUAUAUCCUUAAAUAUAUUUUUGGCUGUGUUGUCCUUCGCUGUACUUACGCUAAACUGCAUGAAAUAGCGUGUUUUCAGAAAGCCUUUCUGUUCAUGCUUACAUGAAUGGAUGGAAAAUAUGCUACUAACAGAACUGAACUGCUCUUGGGAUCACGCUACUUUCUUGACUCCUUUCAUAAAGGGUUGUGACCUGAAUAGUGAUUUGCAGUGCAUGCCAAGAAAGGACAGCUGCAGGCAAAAAUAAGUAAAUAAAUAAAUAAACCAAAACCACAAAUAUUUAUCUUUAUAGUCAAGUCUGCAAGGAUAAGAUAAAAGUUCUUAUUCUACACUCCAAAAAUACUUUUGUAUCUGAGAAAACUGUAUGGAGUCUGAAGCAGUACAGUGGAAGUGUCUACAUUUUGUCAGUAAUUGUGAGAUGUCUAUAUACAACAUCAGUUAAGCUUGCUCCAGGCUUUUGUUACCAUCCCAUUCUCUUAAUGGUGAUACAUGGCUGUUUGUUUCGCUACGCAUUAUAAGUUCAAUCAAUAAACUAAUUUAAUUAGAGCAUUUUAGACAAAAGAUCUCUUUCCUGAAGACGAACUCAUACCUGAGAUGACUUUGACCAAACUGCAAACCUUACUCUUUAGCCCAAGAGCAGUCAAAAACACUUCUUUCUGUGCAUAUGCAACAUCUGGUUAAAAGUAAAUAAGUCAGUAAAUAAGUAAAUUAAAUAAUUAGUGUUAUAUGAAUUCAUCUAAUAUGCUCUGUAUCUUUCUUCAUUUACCUGUUGAUGAAGAAGGUAUAAAAUUAAAAUAUUUUUACAUCA